CGGGCCGCCUGUUCCCACAGCCCAGCGAGCACUGCCAUGGCGCUGGCCAGGCCUGGGGCCCCGGCGUCCAGGCCCCUGGCCGCUCUCCUGCUGUUGCUGCUGCUCUUGGCUCCUGCCCUCACCCUCCUGGGUGGAACAAUGCCUUCGGAGACCCCAGGUGUCUGUGCCUCGGACCCGUGCAUGCCAGGGACCGAGUGCCAGGCUCUAGAGAACGGCAGCUACACCUGUGAGCCCACGGAGCUCCGUGGCUGUGCCACCCAACCAUGCCACCACGGUGCUCUGUGUGUGCCCCAGGGUCCAGAACCCAGUGGCUUUCGCUGUUACUGCGUGCCAGGCUUCCAGGGCCCACGCUGUGAGCUGGACAUCGACGAGUGUGCAUCCCGGCCCUGCCACCACGGGGCCACCUGCCACAACCUGGCUGAUCGCUAUGAGUGCCGCUGUCCCCUUGGCUAUGCGGGGGUGACCUGCGAGGUGGAGGUGGACGAGUGUGCCUCGUCGCCCUGCCUGCACGGGGGCUCGUGCCUGGACGGCGUGGGCUCCUACCGCUGUGUGUGCGCACCGGGCUACGGGGGCGCCAGCUGCCAGCUGGACCUGGACGAGUGCCAGAGCCGGCCCUGCGCGCACGGGGGCGAGUGCCACGACCUGGUCAACGGGUUCCAGUGCAACUGCGCGGACACGGGCUACGAGGGUGCGCGCUGCGAGCAGGAGGUGCUGGAGUGCGCCUCGGAGCCCUGCGCCAACAACGCCUCCUGCCUCGAGGGUCUGGCGAGCUUCCGCUGCCUCUGCUGGCCAGGCUACAGCGGGCAGCAGUGCGAGGUGGAUGAGGAUGAGUGCGCGUCGAGCCCCUGUCAGCACGGGGGGCAGUGCCUGCAGCGCUCAGACCCGGCCCUGUACGGAGGCAGCCAGGCCACCUUCCCCGGCGCCUUCAGCUUCCGCCGUGCUGCUGGCUUCCUGUGCCGCUGCCCGCCCGGCUUUGAGGGGGACGAAUGUGGCGUGGAUGUGGACGAGUGUGCCUCACGGCCAUGCCUCAACAAAGGCCGCUGCCAGGACCUGCCCAAUGGCUUCCAGUGCCACUGUCCAGACGGCUACACAGGCCUGGCGUGUCAGGAAGAUGUGGACGAAUGCCUGUCGGAGCCCUGCCUCCAUGGGGGGACCUGUGAGGACACCGUGGCGGGCUACAUCUGCCGGUGCCCGGACGCCUGGGGUGGGCAUGACUGUUCCGUGCAGCUCACUGGCUGCCAGGGCCACACUUGCCCACUGGGUGCCACCUGCAUCCCCACCCUCAAGGCUGGGGUCCACGGUUAUGCCUGCCACUGCCCGCCGGGGACCCACGGAGCCUUUUGUGGCCAGAACACCACCUUCUCUGUGGUGGCUGGGAGCCCCGUGCAGGCAUCGUUGCCAGCUGGCGGCCCCUUGGGUCUGGCACUGAGGUUUCGCACCACACUACCUGCUGGGGUCCUGGCCACUCGCACGGACAGCCAGGACAGCUUGGAGCUGGCGCUGACGGGGGGCACACUUCGGGCCACACUCUGGAGCCACAGCAACACCACCGUGCUUACCUUGAGGCUCCCGGACGUGGCUCUGAAUGAUGGCCACUGGCACCAGGUGGAGGCUUCGCUGCGCCCAGGGGUCCUGGAGCUGCGGCUCUGGCACAAGGACUGCCCUGCCCAGCUCUGUGUGGCCUCAGGGCCUGUGACCCCGGCUCCCAUGGCCUCUGAAGCCCUGAUACCUGCCAGCUUCUGCUCCGCCCAGCUGGGUGGCACAGCCUUCGAAGGCUGCUUCCAGGACGUGCAUGUGGACGGGUCCCUCCUGUUGCCUGAGGAUCUCGGCAAGAACGUCCUCCUGGGCUGUGAGCACCGUGAGCAGUGUCAGCCUCCACCCUGUGCCCACGGAGGGGCCUGCGUGGACAUGUGGACUCGCUUCCAUUGCAAAUGCCCCCGGCCCUAUAGUGGUCCCACCUGUGCUGAUGAGGUUCCCGCUGCCACCUUUGGCUUGCGGGGCACCCUGAGCGCUGCCUCCUUCUUGCUCCACCAGCUGCCAGGCCCCAACCUCACCGUGUCCUUUCUCCUCCGGACCCGGGAACCUGCUGGCCUUCUACUCCAGCUUGCCAACGACUCGGUAGCUGGGCUAACAGUAUUCCUGAGCAGGGGCCAGAUCCAGGCCGAGGUGCUGGGCAGUCCUACCCUGGUGCUCCCUGAGCGCUGGGAUGAUGGGCUCCGCCACCUGGUGACGCUCAGCUUCGGGCCUGAGCAGCUGCAGGGCUUGGGGCAGCAGGUGCAUGUGGGUGGGAGGCUCCUCCCUGCUGACGCCCAGCCCUGGGGUGGGCCCUUCCGAGGCUGCCUCCAGGACCUGAGACUCAAUGACCUCCACCUCCCGUUCUUUCCGCCGCUGCUGGGGAACUCAAGCCAGCCCAGCAAGCUGGGCAGUGGGCAGUCCUGGAACCUCACCAUGGGCUGCGUCUCCGAGGACACCUGCAGUCCUGACCCCUGUCUCAAUGGUGGAACUUGUCUCAUCACCUGGAAUGAUUUCCACUGCACCUGCCCUGUCAACUUCACGGGGCCCACAUGUGCCCAGCACCUGUGGUGUCCUGGCCAGCCCUGCCUCCCACCUGCCACCUGUGAAGAGGUCCCUGAUGGCUUUGUCUGUGUGGCCGAAGCCACGUUCCGCGAGGGCCCCGCCGCCGCCUUCAGCGGGCGCAACGCAUCGUCGGGGCUGUGGCUCGGCGGCCUGUCGCUGGCCUUCCGCACACGCGACCCCGAGGCCGGGCUGCUGCGCGCCACCGCGGGCGCCCACGCGGCCGUCUGGCUGGCGCUGCGCAACGGCUCGCUGGCGGCGGGCGUGCGCAGCGGCCGGGGCGCGCCCGGGGCGGUGCUGCCCGCGUGGGGGCCGCGCGUGGCCGACGGCGCCUGGCACCGCGUGCGCCUGGCCAUGGAGCGCCCCGGGGCCGCCGCGGCGCGCUGGCUGCUGUGGCUGGACGGCGCCCCGACGCCCGUGGCGCUGCGCGGCCUGGCCGGGGACCUGGGCUUCCUGCGCGGCCCCGGCGCCGCCCGCGUGCUGCUGGCCGAGAACUUCACCGGCUGCCUGGGCCGCGUGGCGCUCGGCGGCCUCCCGCUGCCCCUGGCGCGCCCGCGGCCUGGCGCGGCGCCCGGCUCCCGGGAGCACUUCGCGGCCUGGCCCGGGCUGCCCGCCCCCCGCCUCGGCUGCCGCGGCGCGCGCGUGUGCGCCCCCUCGCCCUGCCUGCACGGCGGCCGCUGCCGCGACCUCUUCGACAGCUUCGCCUGCGACUGCGGCCCCGGCUGGGGAGGCCCGCGCUGCGAGGCCCGCGCCGACCCGUGUGGCUCGGCGCCCUGUGCCCGCGGCCGCUGCCACGCGCGCCCCGACGGCCGCUUCGAGUGCCGCUGCUCGCCCGGCUUCGCGGGUCCACGCUGCAGGCGUCCUGUCCUGCCAGAGGAAUGCAGCCUGAACGUCACCUGCCUCAUUGGUGGCCCCUGUGAUGGGCCCCAGGGUGCCAACUGCAGCUGCCAGGAGGGCUUUGCUGGCCAGAGGUGCCAGACCCCCUGUGAGGCCAACCCCUGCUUGAAUGGAGGCACCUGCCGGGCUGCUGGUGGGCUCUUUGAGUGUAUCUGCAGUGCAAGGUUUUCGGGCCAGUUCUGUGAGGUGGUGAAAGGCCUGCCACUGCCUCUCCCGUUCCCGCUCUUGGAGGUUGUGGUGCCCGCGGCCUGCGCCUGCCUCUUGCUUCUCCUCUUGGGCCUCCUCUCAGGGAUACUGGCAGCCAGGAAGCGCCGUCAGUCAGAGGGCACCUAUAGCCCGAGCCAGCAGGAGGUGGCUGGGGCCCGGCUGGAAAUGGACAGUGUCCUCAAGGUGCCGCCAGAGGAGAGACUCAUCUAAGCCUGCCUGGCCGUUGCUCCAGCACCUGUGAGGUCCCAGCUGAUUUCCACCUGAGGACCAGAGAGGCUGCUUCUGUGGCCAGCCUCUUCCUGCAGCAGCAGGGCCCAGGCCUUCUGCUGGCAGCCCCCACCUCUGCCCCACUGUGGACAGGAGAAGGGGGGCACUCAGGGAAGCAGAUAGGGGCCUGGACAGGCCGUGGACUUCACCGGGGGACCCACUGUGCAGGGGAGGGGCACACAGUGUGUGUGAGCGUGGACCUGGGGGCUGCGGGCCUGCAGAAAGCAGUGGAGCAUUCUGGAUGGGGCCAGUGGGCGUGUCCGUGUCUCUGCUGUGCCUGCACAUGAUGGUGUGAUGCUUCUUCAGGGAGAUGUCUCUGCCUGUGCCAGGGGCCGGAAGUGCAGGAACACAGACCACGUGCAGGGCCGACGUGCAGGGGCAGAGGGCCAGCUGCCUGAGAUGUCACGCCCUGCCGCGGGGUUUCUCUGGGGAGAACAGCCUCUGCCUCCCUCACGGGGCUGUUGUGAGGAUCUGCGAUGACGACGGGAAAGUGCCCUAGAUGGACACUGUGUGCUGCUGGGCUCUGUGGAUCACCCUGUUGGUUUUCAGGAAGGGUUGUCAGCUGGGAGCGAGGGCAUGUGGGGGAGGGGCCUUUCCUGUGGCAAGGAGGCCCAGGAUAAGGGAGCAAACUUUCCGCCCCUGGCCCCCAACCACCUCUGGUUCUCCCGUUCCAGUGCUCCCAUCACAGCUGCCUGAGGAGGCCACUCCUCCACCCACAGACCAGUGGCCUCUCUCAAUGGCUGCAUAUGUGGCAGGGGGUGAGGGAGGUGGGAUUCAGGACUCGCAGGAAGCCCUCAGAGUUGCUUGGUGAUUUCAGCAAAUGUAGGCAUCACCUCUUUGUGUCAGGGCUGGUCCUGCAGACACAGACACAGAUGCAGAGGAGGAACUGGCUUUGCUCCCAGUCCCUUCCCUGAAAAUGCCAUCCCGUUGACCCCAGAAGGGCAGUCCCCACUACCACCACCGAGUGCCCAGCCUCCUCCCAGCUUCAGGAAGUCCCUUCAUCCUUGACCUGGAGACAUGCCCGUCUGUCCUUCCUGCUUCCCAGGCCACCACCUCCUGUGCCAAGGCCAGGAGACCCCUUUUCACUUCUAGAUUGGUGGCUGACUUUACCUAGUUGCCCUCGGGGUCUCAGCCAGCUUCCAGAGGUCCAGGUGGCAAAUCUGAGGUAGAGCCAAGUGGUGACGGGGGGUAAGGCAGCCUGAGUGUGGCUGAGACUGAGGGGUUCAGCUGAGGCUGGGAUAGGAAGUGCCCUGAACACUGGGUACGGGACUUGCUGAGGCCUCAUCCUGUAGGAAGUGGCACCUUUCUCCCACUUUCUCCAUCAUGACUCCUGGGAAAGUGGGGGAGGAAACAUCUGGUACCAGCAACUUAGCCACAGCUGGUGCCUUGGUUAUUUUUAUUAAAUCAGGGAUUUGGCAAACCUGUGUUCUUACAGACCCCUCUAAGACACAUGGAACCCCAAGAAAUAAAAGCAGUGCCACUUUUCUGGGA